UCACUCUCCCUAAGAC
rnacentral:tRNA from 2 species